UGAACCGACGAAAUUCAGGUCAAUCAACGUCCGUCAAAAAAAUUCAACAAAAUCGCAUAGUAUACACACGAAAAAAUGGAUAUAAUUGCAAACUCAUAUUGCAUGACUAUGAAAUGCCAUAAAAUGAACUAGAUAGUCAUGGUGAAGCAAUGAGUAUUUGUCACUUGGUCAUUUCCUUUAGACCUACAAAAUUUCAGGCCAAUCAGAGUCUAUCAAAAAAAAUUCUACAAAAUUAGCAUGUACUAAUACACACAAAAUAUAUAUAUAUAUAUAUAAUUACAAAUUCAUAUUGCAUGACCUCAAAGCGCCAUAAAAUGAACCCGAAAGUAAUAGCGAAGCAAUGAGUUUUUGUCACUAGCUCAUUUUCUAUGGACCGACGAAAUUCAGGUCAAUCAACGUCCGUCAAAAAAAUUCAACAAAAUCGCAUAGUAUACACACGAAAAAAUGUAUAUAUUCAUAAAUUCGUAUUACAUGACCAUGAAACAACACAAAAUGAACCCGAAAGUCAUGGAAAAGCAAUGAGUAUUGGUCACAAUGUCAUUUCCUAUAAACCUGCAAAAAUUCAAGCCAAUCGGAGUCCGUCAAAAAAACUUCUACAAAAUCAGCAUGCACUAAUAUCCACAAAAAAGUGGAUAUAAUCAUCAGUUCGUAUUGCAUGACCAUGAAUCGCCAUAAAAUGAACCCGAAGUCAUGGUGACGCAAUGAAUAUAUGCCACUAGGUCGUUUCCUAUAAACCUAUGAAAAUAUAGGCUAAUCAAAGUCCAUCAAAAAACUUAUACAAAGUCAACAUGUACUAAUAUGCGCGAAAAAAGUGGAUAUAACCACAAAUUUGUUUUGCCUGACCUCGAAACGCAAUAAAAUGAACUCGAAAGUCAUGGCAAAGCAAUGAAUAUUGAUCUACAAAAAUACCAGGCCAAUUAGAAUCCGUCAAAAAAAAUAUAUAAAAUACGCAUAUACCAAUACACACAAAAAAGUGGAUAUAAUCACAAAUUCGUGUUACGUGACCACGAAACGCCAAAAAAUAAAUCUGAAAGUCAUGGCGAAGCAAUGAGUAUUGGUCGCUAAUCGUUUCCUAUGGACCUACGAAAUUUCAAGACAAUUAGUCCACCAAAAAAAAAGUUCUAGAAGAUCAACAUGUACUAAUACAUUCAAAAAUGUGAAUACAAUCAUUAAUGCAUGUUGCAUGACCCCGAAACAUCAAAAAAAGAACCAGGAACGCCAAAAAACUACGUUAGUCAUAACGAAGCAAUGAGUAUUGGUUAAUAGGUCGUUUCCUAUUGACCUACGAAAAUUCAAACCAAUCGGAGUCCGUCAAAAAAUUCUAUAAAAUCGAUACGAAAAAGUGGAUAUAAUCACAAAUUUGUAUUGCAUGACCUCGAAUGCCAUAAUCUGAACCCGGAAGUUAUGAUGAAGCAAC
rnacentral:lncRNA from 1 species